AUUGUUUCCUCCACCACCUUUUCUUCUUCCUUCUUCUUGUAGGUCACGUUUGACACUUAAACAGAAAUAAAAAUAGAGUUAAGAAAACUAAGAGCAAACCUCUUUAUAAAAUUUGUACGAAUUAUUUUGCAGACUGUACGUCAAUUUACAAAACUUAUUAAUAGUAAUUCUUUAUCAAGUCUGGUGAUGCUCCAAUACCUCUUCAGGUUGCUCAGGUCAUCUCAACUUAGAAAGGAAAUAUGGAUCGGCUCUAAAUUUAUCGGAUGAAUAUGGGUGUUUCUUAAUCUUAGGACAAUGAUAUAUUAGCAAUUUAAAAAUUUUUAGGGCAUGAGGGCCGGUGAGAUGAGUUAUCUUGCUGAGUUUGAUGAAUUAAAUGAUAAGAUCGGAUCGAGAAUCAAAUUUAUUUAUUUAUUUUUUCGGUACACCGGUGCUCAGAAUACAGCCAAAAAAAAAUUUAUUUGUUUUAAAGAAGAGGAAGAGAAGGCAACGGGGGGAGGGUGGGAGUGACGGCGGGUCGUCGUUUCGAGCUUGCAUGCCCAAUCCGCCGAUUUUCUCUCUUCGGCGCCUGGUCUCAAAUUCAAGUUUCGUUUUGCCGCGGUUUGUUUCUUUCGUUCCGUUUCUUUUUUAAUUGAAUUGCCUAGCUGAAUCCUUGAAGAAGGGGAGGAGAUCGAUAGGAAUACCAUGGCCACCAGCAGCAAGCCUGCCUUCGACGGCCAGUCGCUUGAAGAGUUCUUCGCAUCCUUCGCCUACAAAGGAGGAGGCGGAGGACAUGACGAUGGUAUCAGGAAGGGGAACAGCAGCAGCGGAGGAGGAGGAGGAAGGGUUGAUAAAAGAGUAGGACAGGGAUGGCGCCUACUUAGCCCUAACAACAGCAGCAGCAGCAGCAGCAACAACAACAACAAUACUCCUCCUCCUCCUCCACCACUACCAUCAUCGUCGCUCCAGGGCACUACCAAUAGGAAGAAUCCUCGACGGCCUGUUGCCUGCCGAGUUCAUUGAAUCCUUUGCCUACAAAGGAAGAAGGGUUGAUGGUAGAAUAGGAAAGGGAGAAGACCUCCUUAGCUCCGGCACUCCUCCUCCACCGCCGUCUCUCAGGAAUAGGAAAAGGAAGAUGACAGCCGCCUCCACCACCACCGCCAGACGGGUCACCCGUUUCUUCCCCUGUCCCGGCGAGAGGGUUGUCGUCGUUGAUGUCAAGAAAGAUAUCACUGGGAAGGCGAAAGCCUCUUCCGGUGGCGCGACCGCCAGGAAGAGGCCAAGGACGACGGGCAACACAGGCAGCACGGAUGCAAACAGGCAGCCGCAGAAACGCAGCAAGGGGAGGAGAAAACGGCGCAGCAUCCAGCUAUCUGCUGAGGAGAAGUACUCGGACGCCUACAGGAGAGUCAGCGAUCACGAUGUGUGGGAUGCUCCGCGGUCGUCCCACACCCUCCUGCAAGAAACUGAAGAAAGACACUGCUUCGAUCCGUGGAGGGUCCUGGUUAUAUGCAUCCUGCUCAAUGUAACAACGGGCGAUCAGGUUCGAGAAGUAUUGUCAGGUUUUUUUCCUUCUGUUUCCUGAUGCAAAGUCUGUGAAGGAGAAUCUCAAGGAGCAGAUAGCGGAUAAGUUGUGGUCCUUGUGGAGCCUGGGCUUGCAGUGGAAGCGCGCUCAGUUGAUCAUUGAUCUUUCUGAAAGUUACUUGAAAGGUGACUGGACUCAUGUGACCCAGCUCCCUGGCAUUAGCAAGCAAGCUGGAACAGGUGAAACCCAAGACCAUAAAUUAGUUGAAUACUGGAAGGAAGUUGGCGAGAUGUUAUGCGGAAAAAGCUGACCUUCCCCAGUCCUUUUGGAGCUUAGUUUUAUGUUUGUAAUGGUGGAUGUUUUGUUUACUUUUGAGCUGCCAGUAGGCAUGAACGCUCGACAGCCAGUUACAUCUGAGUUCUCUUUUUUGAUGUAAUGAAUGACAAGAGGUAUGCAUCUGGUUUGGCUUUAUCUAGUUUUGUAAGCGAUGAUUUCUUGCGUCUAUGGUUCAAGUUAACGAUUGUCUC